UUGGAGGGCAAGUCUGGUGCCAGCAGCCGCGGUAAUUCCAGCUCCAAUAGCGUAUAUUAAAGUUGUUGCAGUUAAAAAGCUCGUAGUUGAAUUUCGGGAUCAAUGUUUCGGUCAUGCCGUUGGUAUGUACUGAUAUUAUUGGUUUCUCACCUUCUAAAGAACCGUAAUGCCAUUAAUUUGGUGUCACGGGGAAUUAGGGCUGUUACCUUGAAAAAAUUAGAGUGUUUAAAGCGGGCUCACGCUUGAAUACAUUAGCAUGGAAUAAUGAAAUAGGACAUCGCAUUCUAUUUUGUUGGUUUCUAGGAUCGAUGUAAUGAUUAAUAGGGAUAGUUGGGGGCAUUAGUAUUCAAUUGUCAGAGGUGAAAUUCUUGGAUUUAUUGAAGACUAACUACUGCGAAAGCAUUUGCCAAGGAUGUUUUCAUUAAUCAAGAACGAAAGUUAGGGGAUCGAAGACGAUCAGAUACCGUCGUAGUCUUAACCAUAAACUAUGCCGACUAGGGAUCGGAUGAUGUUGAUUUUUUAAUGACUCAUUCGGCGCCUUACGGGAAAC
rnacentral:rRNA from 1 species